rnacentral:rRNA from 1 species
UAAAGAUUCAUCGCUGAUAGAUAGGCAUGCGUUCCAUUAGGCAGUUGGCGGGGUAACGGCCCACCAAACCGACGAUGGAUAGGGGUUCUGAGAGGAAGGUCCCCCACAUUGGUACUGAGACACGGACCAAACUCCUACGGGAGGCAGCAGUGAGGAAUAUUGGUCAAUGGGCGUAAGCCUGAACCAGCCAAGUCGCGUGAGGGAUGAAGGUUCUAUGGAUCGUAAACCUCUUUUAUAAGGGAAUAAAGUGCGGGACGUGUCCCGUUUUGUAUGUACCUUAUGAAUAAGGAUCGGCUAACUCCGUGCCAGCAGCCGCGGUAAUACGGAGGAUCCGAGCGUUAUCCGGAUUUAUUGGGUUUAAAGGGUGCGUAGGCGGCCUUUUAAGUCAGCGGUGAAAGUCCGUGGCUCAACCAUAGAAUUGCCGUUGAAACUGGGAGGCUUGAGUAUGUUUGAGGCAGGCGGAAUGCGUGGUGUAGCGGUGAAAUGCUUAGAUAUCACGCAGAACCCCGAUUGCGAAGGCAGCCUGCCAAGCCAUGACUGACGCUGAUGCACGAAAGCGUGGGGAUCAAACAGGAUUAGAUACCCUGGUAGUCCACGCAGUAAACGAUGAUCACUAGCUGUUUGCGAUACACAGUAA